CCUACGGGUGGCAGCAGUGAGGAAUAUUGGUCAAUGGACGAGAGUCUGAACCAGCCAAGUAGCGUGAAGGAUGACUGCCCUAUGGGUUGUAAACUUCUUUUAUAUGGGAAUAAAAUGUUCCACGUGUGGGCUUUUGUAUGUACCAUAUGAAUAAGGAUCGGCUAACUCCGUUCCAGCAGCCCCGGUAAUAAGGAGGGUCCGAGCGUUAUCCGGAUUUAUUGGGGUUAAAGGGAGCGUAGGUGGAUUGUUAAUGCAGUUGUGAAAGUUUGCGGAUCAAACGUCAAAUUGCAGUUGAAACUGGCAGUCUUGAGUACAGUAGAGGUGGGCGGAAUUCGUGGUGUAGCGGUGAAAUGCUUAGAUAUCACGAAGAACUCCGAUUGCGAAGGCAGCUCACUGGACUGCAACUGACACUGAGGCUCGAAAGUGUGGGUAUCAAACAGGAUUAGAUACCCUGGUAGUC
rnacentral:rRNA from 1 species